GAUGAACGCUAGCUACAGGCUUAACACAUGCAAGUCGAGGGGUAGCAGGGUAGCAAUACCGCUGACGACCGGCGCACGGGUGAGUAACACGUAUCCAACCUUCCCAUAACUCGGGGAUAGCCUUUCGAAAGAAAGAUUAAUACCGGAUGGUACUUUUUCAAGGCAUCUUGAGAAAGUUAAAGAUUUAUUGGUUAUGGAUGGGGAUGCGUUCCAUUAGAUAGUAGGUGAGGUAACGGCUCACCAAGUCUUCGAUGGAUAGGGGUUCUGAGCGGGAGGUACCCCACAUUGGUACUGAGACACGGACCAAACUCCUACGGUAAGCAGCAGUGAGGAAUAUUAGUCAAUGGGCGAGAGCCUGAACCAGCCAAGUAGCGUGAAGGAUGAAGGUCCUAUGGAUUGUAAAUUUCUUUUAUAGUAGAAUAAAGUGAUCCACGUGUGGAUUUUUGUAUGUAUACUAUGAAUAAGGAUCGGCUAACUCCGUGCCAGCAGCCGCAGUAAGAC
rnacentral:rRNA from 1 species